GCAGGAAGACAUAUAUACAAAGUUUAUUUAAACGAAGAGUACAGAGAAUGUGUAAAUAAAUGGACAUCAAUGUCAGGUUUAGGAAUUAUUUGUGUUGUUGAAUAGGUUUAAUCUGAACAUCAUUCACACACAGUCGAACAUAGAGUAAUUAACUAUGUGUAUGGUUUAAAUAACAAUAAAAAUAAAUAAUUUAAUUGUAAGAUACUGAUAUAUGUAUAUGUACAAUGAGAGUGAUAAAAUGAUGAAUAGAUAAUAUAUAUAACAUAUAUAGAUAGAUAUUAUUCAAUAAUUCACAUAAGCACCUUGCUACUGCAACCACUUGUCCCCUGAUUUCGUAGUCAACCAGACGAUGACCGACAGAAGUCACAAUACUGCUAACAUCGGCAAUAUUAAAGUUAGACCUCUGCUGAUACCAACUGGUACCAACUGAUGUGUAAUGGCCCUGACACUCAACGCCGUCGACGAUCGCCAAUCUGACAAUGGCACUCAAGACUGAAAUAUAUUUCGGAGACGACAAGCGACGCCCACAAUGCCAUAGAAUCGAGCUCAGUAUGUACAACUCCAGCACUGGCACCCUAUACACGAAAUAACACAAAAUUCAGCCUCUAUUCCAAAACUAGAAACAGCGACAAUCUCAUAUAUAACAUACAAUAAGAGAUAUCACAACGAAGUAACUCACCCUAAAACUGGGGUCCCACAAAAUCCUACUGAAUAAUAUAAGUCCAAGAAACUAGUACAUACUAAUAAUCUUUUACGGACUAACAUACCAUCCGUUUCUACCAAAUUCAGAGGGUGAACUGCCUCAUGACAAAUGAAUGACCAAUAGAGGUCACCGGACUUUGUGACAUAGCAAAAACAAUUCAAAACAAAACUACAAGGCACUCUCGCCCCGUAAUACAAGUAGAGGAAAACAAACAGAGUUGGGCAAAGCAAAAGACACUUGUCUAAACUACGCGACAGUCAACUCACAGGCUUUCUCAACACAAAAAAACAACAAAAGUUACACAUUCAAAAAUUGUAUGUCAUAUGUUACAACACACAAUCUAUUGUCAAAUUAGGGAAAACACACAUCAAUGUAAACAAAAAUAAAGGUUAAAGGCCUCAGGUCAAGACAUGACCACUUUUGGUCACUCUGGGGUUACAGGCUUCAGGCUGACACAGCCACUUUUAGCCCCCCCCCCCCCCAAAAAAAAA